GGACCCGCACAAGUAGUGGAGCAUGUGGUUUAAUUCGAAGAUACGCGCAGAACCUUACCAACACUUGACAUGUUCGUCGCGACUUUAAGAGAUUAAAGUUUUCGGUUCGGCCGGACGAAACACAGGUGCUGCAUGGCUGUCGUCAGCUCGUGUCGUGAGAUGUUGGGUUAAGUCCCGCAACGAGCGCAACCCUCACUUUUAGUUGCCAUCAUUAAGUUGGGCACUCUGAAAGAACUGCCAGUGAUAAGCUGGAGGAAGGUGGGGAUGACGUCAAGUCCUCAUGGCCCUUACGUGUUGGGCUACACACGUGCUACAAUGGUAUCUACAACAGGAAGCAAGACAGCGAUGUUUAGCAAAUCCUCAAAGAUACCUCAGUUCGGAUUGCACUCUGCAACUCGAGUGCAUGAAGCUGGAAUUACUAGUAAUCGU
rnacentral:rRNA from 1 species